GAGGAGACGAAUGAGUUAACUUCGGUAUCCACAAGUCGUGCAGAGGUGAGAGUUGAUGGCAGAAAGACUCGAACUUACCCGACGUAAUAGGAAUAGGUCGGAACGAGGUUGAGCUUGGAGAGUAAUGUACUGAUAUUAGGGCGGUGAGGAUGAAACUGAACGAAAAUGAUUUUACAGAAUAAUGAACAGGCACUAGGAAUGAAAAUUUCAAGGUUCAGAGCUCCUUUAAUGAAGAUACUUAAGAAAACUAGUUUCUAAAGUUUUCAAUGCUAUGAAAGCUCAGAAUGGAAAGUAGCAAGACUGAAUCAAAUU
rnacentral:misc_RNA from 1 species